GGGGAACAAAAUAGGAUGAUUUUUAUCAUGCAUACUCUCAUAUUUUUUUCAAAAGAAGCAUAAAUCUGUGACGUUCUAGAGAGGACGUGAAAAUUGAAUUUUCGCGUCGUGAAAUUGUCCAAGACGACGUGGCAAAUCAGAAGCUGACGAUAGUUGGCGCCAAAUGACGCCAUCCACGUCGUCUUUGAGGUCGCGUCGUCUAUUCUAAAUCUGUCUAAUA